GAACGCCGUAGCAAUACGGAAGGGCAGACCGGUGAGUAACGCGUGGGAACAUACCCCUCGGUUCGGAAUAACUCAGGGAAACUUGAGCUAAUACCGGAUACGUCCAAGGUUUUAAUCGACCUUGGAGAAAGAUUUAUCGCCGGGGGAUUGGCCCGCGUCUGAUUAGCUUGUUGGUGAGGUAAUGGCUCACCAAGGCGACGAUCAGUAGCUGGUCUGAGAGGAUGAUCAGCCACAUUGGGACUGAGACACGGCCCAAACUCCUACGGGAGGCAGCAGUGGGGAAUAUUGGAUAAUGGGCGAAAGCCUGAUCCAGCCAUGCCGCGUGAGUGAUGAAGGCCUUAGGGUUGUAAAACUCUUUUACCCGGGAAGAUAAUGACGGUACCGGGAGAAUAAGCCCCGGCUAACUUCGUGCCAGCAGCCGCGGUAAUACGAAGGGGGCUAGCGUUGUUCGGAAUUACUGGGCGUAAAGCGCACGUAGGCGGAUCCUUAAGUCAGGGGUGAAAUCCCGAGGCUCAACCUCGGAACUGCCUUUGAUACUGGGGAUAUCGAGUCCGGGAGAGGUGAGUGGAACUGCGAGUGUAGAGGUGAAAUUCGUAGAUAUUCGCAAGAACACCAGUGACGAAGGCGGCUCACUGGCCCGGUACUGACGCUGAGGUGCGAAAGCGUGGGGA
rnacentral:rRNA from 1 species